rnacentral:rRNA from 1 species
GAUGAACGCUGGCGGCGUGCUUAACACAUGCAAGUCGAACGAACCUUCGGGUUAGUGGCGGACGGGUGAGUAACGCGUGAGAAUCUGCCCUCAGGAGGGGGACAACAGCUGGAAACGGCUGCUAAUACCCCAUAUGCCGCGAGGUGAAAUGAAUUUCGCCUGAGGAUGAGCUCGCGUCUGAUUAGCUAGUUGGUGUAGGUAAUGGCUCACCAAGGCAUCGAUCAGUAGCUGGUCUGAGAGGAUGAUCAGCCACACUGGGACUGAGACACGGCCCAGACUCCUACGGGAGGCAGCAGUGGGGAAUUUUCCGCAAUGGGCGAAAGCCUGACGGAGCAACGCCGCGUGAGGGAUGAAGGCCUCUGGGCUGUAAACCUCUUUUAUCAAGGAAGAAGAUCUGACGGUACUUGAUAAGUAAGCCACGGCUAAUUCCGUG